AGCAGCAGCCGCGGUAAUACAGAGGGCGCGAGCGUUAAUCGGAUUUACUGGGCGUAAAGCGUGCGUAGGCGGCUUUUUAAGUCGGAUGUGAAAUCCCCGAGCUUAACUUGGGAAUUGCAUUCGAUACUGGGAAGCUAGAGUAUGGGAGAGGAUGGUAGAAUUCCAGGUGUAGCGGUGAAAUGCGUAGAGAUCUGGAGGAAUACCGAUGGCGAAGGCAGCCAUCUGGCCUAAUACUGACGCUGAGGUACGAAAGCAUGGGGAGCAGACAGGAUUAGAUACCCCAGUAGUCCCUGUCUCUUAUAC
rnacentral:rRNA from 1 species